rnacentral:rRNA from 1 species
UACGUAGGGUGCAAGCGUUGUCCGGAUUUAUUGGGCGUAAAGAGCUCGUAGGCGGCUUGGCAAGUCGGGUGUGAAAACUUCAGGCUCAACCUGGAGCGGCCACUCGAUACUGCCAUGGCUUGAGUCCGGUAGGGGACCACGGAAUUCCUGGUGUAGCGGUGAAAUGCGCAGAUAUCAGGAGGAACACCAGUGGCGAAGGCGGUGGUCUGGGCCGGAACUGACGCUGAGGAGCGAAAGCGUGGGUAGCAAACAGG